GAUACCACCCUUGUAGUACUGGGACUCUAACCAUAGGCCAUGAAUCUGGUCUUGGGACACUGUCAGGUGGGCAGUUUGACUGGGGCGGUCGCCUCCCAAAAGGGAACGGAGGCGCUCAAAGGUUCUCUCAGUACGGUCGGAAAUCGUACGUAGAGUGUAAAGGCAAAAGAGAGCUUGAUUGCAAGACAUACAGGUCGAGCAA
rnacentral:rRNA from 1 species